AUGCAUUUAUUUUUUGCUCAUAUUUUAGCUGUUUCUAUUGUUGUCAGAAUAACAGACUCGUGUGCUGCCACGUCAGGAACAACUACUACAACCAUCGCCCCAACUACUUGCACAACUUGCACAACAGACCUCAUUGGAAUUGUUACUGGUAACGAUGGUGACAUGACACCAACUUCUGCAAUUACGGCGGACGCAAAUGGAUGCUCAGUCAUAACGUACACGUGUGAAAGAACUCCUGUGGUCGCAACAGACGUAGUGCUAAUCACACUGACAUCCCAACGUCUACUACUGACAUCCCAACGUCUACUACACCAAUGACAACUUCUGCUCCAACAACUACAAUGCCUCGUACAGUGUGCCAAUCUUGCACCCUAGACGCCACAACUGUCAUAAUGGUGCAUCCUUCUGCCAAACCAUUCACAAGUGACACUAUCGACGACACACAAACUUGCGCAAUUCGAACUUUGGUUUGCGAUGCUAGAUCACCUGGUGGAGACGUUCUAGUUUCGUUUAAUAGAGAUGAUUCUGGUUCUACUGGAGGUCCGAACACAUUUACAACUAUCCUUAAUUGCAAUGACGAUAUGCAAUGGACAUUGUCUGGAAUUGUGAUUACCGAGAUUGAGUGUCAAUCAGCAUAA